rnacentral:lncRNA from 1 species
GGUUUUCUGUUCCUGCGUUAGUUUGCUAAGGAUAAUGGCCAUUAUCUUAGCCAUUUGAAAAUAAUGAUUUAACCUCUCUCACCUUCAUUGUCAUUUUAGAAGAAACUACCAUUUGGUGUCCUGCUGAGACAAGAAAAUAUUUUCACAACUCAAGACAAGUUAAAUAUCCACUUAUGGGAACAGUGCUGAAGGCCUGGACUAGGAUGGUAGCAAUGGAGACAGACUAAAGAAAGAGAUGCAAUCAUUCCCUUGCAUAUGGUCCGUAUGAAGACGGGAUCAUUACAGGAAAGGCCUAGUAGAGCUGCCAACUGACUGCAGACACAUGAGUCAAUCCAGCUAAUGCCACAUGGAGCAGAGACAAGCCGCCCAGCUGAGCCCAGUCCAGAUGACAGAAUCAUGAGCAAAUAAGGUUGUUGUUCUUUUAAGCCACUAAAUUUUCGGGUGAUUUGUUACACAGUAAUAAAUAACUGAAACAACUAUGUACAGUUUAAUGAUCUGAAAUCAAUCCAUAGUGUUAUGAUAGCCUUUUUAACAAAAUUGAAAUGAUAACUUAUUCAUUUACAAUGCAAAUCAAUUUAAUGGCAAUAGUUACAACUGCCCUGAAAUGAUCUAAAGCCUCAUGAAGUUGAUUUAAUAUCUAGCUACCCAACAUACUUAAUCACAUGUUCACAGUUGAUGAAUAGUGACUGAAUCUCCAUGAGCAAGAUAAUAGUAAAGCUCUUUUUUUCUCUUUCUCUUUUUUUCCAGAUGAAUAAUUUUACAUUUACACUGAUAAAAAGUUAAAGUUGCAGCUCUGUUUUCACACUACCUGAGGGAUCUUUGUAGAUUACAUAAACCCUAAGCCUCCUGUGUAAGUUAAGGAAAAAAAUUCCAAACUCACAGUGUUAUCGAGAGGAUUAAAUAACAUAAUUUAUGCAAAGUCUUAACCAUAGUUGCUAGCAUUUAAACUUUAACUUUUGUCCAUGUCUCUAAUGUAAUUUAAAAUGAUCUUACUCUUUAAGGUUUGAUCUAAUAGAAUAUUUGUCAGACACAAAGACCAAGAUUUGUCCCAGUUGAUGAACCCUGGGUAUAACUCAAUAGCAUAUUGGCAGUUUUUAUUUUCUGUUAAGUCUGGAUCCAUUCAAUUAGUGAUUUAUUUCUUAAUUUGUCAAACAUUACAUUAACAAAGUAACAACUUUUCUAUCCAUAUUAUAUUGUGGUUACAAAAAAUGGAUCAAUUAUAUUUGAAUUAAAAAAUUUAAUUGCCACCAAAGAAGAGAAAAAUAACUAGAGAAAAAUAAAA